UACGGAGGGAGCUAGCGUUAUUCGGAAUUACUGGGCGUAAAGCGCACGUAGGCGGCUUUGUAAGUUAGAGGUGAAAGCCUGGAGCUCAACUCCAGAACUGCCUUUAAGACUGCAUCGCUUGAAUCCAGGAGAGGUGAGCGGAAUUCCGAGUGUAGAGGUGAAAUUCGUAGAUAUUCGGAAGAACACCAGUGGCGAAGGCGGCUCACUGGACUGGUAUUGACGCUGAGGUGCGAAAGCGUGGGGAGCAAACAGG
rnacentral:rRNA from 1 species